GGGUCAGUAGGUUGGUCGUGCCACCGGUACGUACUGGUCUCACUGAUUCCUCCUUCCUGAAGAACCGUAAUGCCAUUAAUUUGGUGUUGCGGGGAAACAGGACUGUUACUUUGAAAAAAUUAGAGUGUUUAAAGCAAGCUAACGCUUGAAUACAUUAGCAUGGAAUAAUGGAAUAGGACGAUCGAUCCUAUUUUGUUGGUUUCUAGGAUUGACGUA
rnacentral:rRNA from 1 species